AUGAGGGCUUCCGGAAUGGUAACGUUUCGGGGGCCUUUUUCUUGC
rnacentral:antisense_RNA from 1 species